AGAGUUUGAUCCUGGCUCAGGAUGAACGCUAGCGGCAGGCCUAACACAUGCAAGUCGAGGGGCAUCACGAGGUAGCAAUACUUUGGUGGCGACCGGCGCACGGGUGCGUAACGCGUAUGUAACCUACCUAUAACAGGGGCAUAACACUGAGAAAUUGGUACUAAUUCCCCAUAAUAUUCGGAGAGGCAUCUCUCCGGGUUGAAAACUCCGGUGGUUAUAGAUGGACAUGCGUUGUAUUAGCUAGUUGGUGAGGUAACGGCUCACCAAGGCAACGAUACAUAGGGGGACUGAGAGGUUAACCCCCCACAUUGGUACUGAGACACGGACCAAACUCCUACGGGAGGCAGCAGUGAGGAAUAUUGGUCAAUGGCCGAGAGGCUGAACCAGCCAAGUCGCGUGAAGGAAGAAGGAUCUAUGGUUUGUAAACUUCUUUUAUAGGGGAAUAAAGUGGAGGACGUGUCCUUUUUUGUAUGUACCCUAUGAAUAAGCAUCGGCUAACUCCGUGCCAGCAGCCGCGGUAAUACGGAGGAUGCGAGCGUUAUCCGGAUUUAUUGGGUUUAAAGGGUGCGUAGGUGGUGAUUUAAGUCAGCGGUGAAAGUUUGUGGCUCAACCAUAAAAUUGCCGUUGAAACUGGGUUACUUGAGUGUGUUUGAGGUAGGCGGAAUGCGUGGUGUAGCGGUGAAAUGCAUAGAUAUCACGCAGAACUCCGAUUGCGAAGGCAGCUUACUAAACCAUAACUGACACUGAAGCACGAAAGCGUGGGGAUCAAACAGGAUUAGAUACCCUGGUAGUCCACGCAGUAAACGAUGAUUACUAGGAGUUUGCGAUACAAUGUAAGCUCUACAGCGAAAGCGUUAAGUAAUCCACCUGGGGAGUACGCCGGCAACGGUGAAACUCAAAGGAAUUGACGGGGGCCC
rnacentral:rRNA from 1 species